CCUACGGGAGGCAGCAGUGGGGAAUAUUGGACAAUGGGCGAAAGCCUGAUCCAGCCAUGCCGCGUGUGUGAAGAAGGCCUUCGGGUUGUAAAGCACUUUCAGUAGGGAAGAAAGCCUUGGGGCUAAUACCCUCGAGGAAGGACAUCACCCACAGAAGAAGCACCGGCUAACUCCGUGCCAGCAGCCGCGGUAAUACGGAGGGUGCGAGCGUUAAUCGGAAUUACUGGGCGUAAAGCGCGCGUAGGCGGUCUGAUAAGCCGGUUGUGAAAGCCCCGGGCUCAACCUGGGAAAUGCAUCGGGAACUGUAAGGCUAGAGUGCAGGAGAGGAAGGUAGAAUUCCCGGUGUAGCGGUGAAAUGCGUAGAGAUCGGGAGGAAUACCAGUGGCGAAGGCGGCCUUCUGGACUGACACUGACGCUGAGGUGCGAAAGCGUGGGUAGCAAACAGGAUUAGAUACCCGGGUAGUC
rnacentral:rRNA from 1 species